CAAGCCAACUACCAGAAGCCACACUAUGUUGCUACCUUUGGAGAUCAAUAUACUAUCAUCAUUACUGGUUAGGAUGGCAGGUACUUAAAAAAUUUUCAAGGGGAAAAAGAGAUGGGACUCAAUGAGGAAUUGGAUUGCCUGGAUGAAGGGCCUAGAAGCAUAGCAUCAUUUUUAGGCCUAGCACCGUGUGUGAAUUAGAGGAUCGUUAUGCAUCCGCAAUUUUCUUUGAACAAAACUUUCAUUAUUUGUACAUAUAUUUGUUGAUAACUAACUAUUAUGAUUAUUGAGGUGAAGUCCUUUCAAUGAAA